GGCUUCGUAGCUCAACUGGUAGAGUGUUCAGGCAUGGUGUUUCUGUUGCUAGUUCAAAUCUAGCCGAAGCCC